rnacentral:rRNA from 1 species
GACGAACGCUGGCGGCGUGCCUAAUACAUGCAAGUUGAGCGCUGAAGGUUGGUACUUGUACCAACUGGAUGAGCAGCGAACGGGUGAGUAACGCGUGGGGAAUCUGCCUUUGAGCGGGGGACAACAUUUGGAAACGAAUGCUAAUACCGCAUAAAAACUUUAAACACAAGUUUUAAGUUUGAAAGAUGCAAUUGCAUCACUCAAAGAUGAUCCCGCGUUGUAUUAGCUAGUUGGUGAGGUAAAGGCUCACCAAGGCGAUGAUACAUAGCCGACCUGAGAGGGUGAUCGGCCACAUUGGGACUGAGACACGGCCCAAACUCCUACGGGAGGCAGCAGUAGGGAAUCUUCGGCAAUGGACGCAAGUCUGACCGAGCAACGCCGCGUGAGUGAAGAAGGUUUUCGGAUCGUAAAACUCUGUUGGUAGAGAAGAACGUUGGUGAGAGUGGAAAGCUCAUCAAGUGACGGUAACUACCCAGAAAGGGACGGCUAACUACGUG